UCUUGUUUAUUUUUUUCAUUUAAGUCAAUUUCCUCGGUGGUGGGUGUUUCAUGGUGCUGCUGGUGGCAUUGUUUCCUGCAGGCACUCUUGUGGAAACAGAUGGUGGAUGGCGGCGGCAGCGGCAGCUGGAGGACGGCGACCACUCACCCACGCCCUCAUUAAUUUGUUCAGUUGUCCAUUCAUGCAGCAACGUGAAGCAGCUGAAGGGGUCGCUGCUCAGUUUAAAAUCUCACAGCCGUCUCCUUUGUUCGGAGCUUUCCGUGUCUUCCACUCCGUGCUGUUUUCCAUGGACCAGACUCCAGUGUCUCUCCGACAGAUGCUGCUCUCCGCCUCGCAGCGACGGAGGACGACAUCGUGUUUCUGUGUGUUAUCCCACUGCAAAUGGUCAAUCUGCUCAACAUUGAUCACGUAAAGGCAGGACUCUACUCUUUGGUGGUUAACGCAAAGAAGAGGAGGAGAAAAUGAAAAGGACGUGGUUGUUUUUUUUUACUACUGCAAGACAGGUAACCCUCUGUGUCACUGUUCAUGUACAGUGCGGCUAAUCUGUCACUUUUCUGGAGAUUUUGGGAAAGUCCAGCUGGGAGUCAACAGCAACACAGGUUAAGUAUUCUGACUGAAUUGCAUCUUUUACUAUGAAAAAUUUGUUUUCAAAGGCACACAGUAUUAUCUGGAGAAUUUACAGAUUAGAGAAAAAUGUUAGUAUUAGGGGCAGUGGUGGCUUAGUGGUUAAGGAAGCAGACUUGGGUCCAGAAGACUUCAAGUUUGAGUCCUGAGGUGCUUUGAGCAUGUCACUGUCCCCACACACUGCUCCCAGGGUGCUCAAAGCUGUCCACUGUUCACUUUGGUGACGGGUUAAAAGCAGAGGUCACAUUUGGUUGUGAAUGCAGUGGUGAGCUGUGACACAAUGACAAGGAGAUCACUUUCCACUUUUUCCCAAGGGUUCAAAGUUGUUUAAUAUAUUUUUAAUUUAAAAGCUGUAGCAAUGAAACAGAAUGACAGGCAUUGUCUGGAGGGCUGCAGAGAACAGUUGUGUUGCGUCCCUCUCUCCUGUUCUUCUGUGUCUUGUGUUCCUCUGCAGUUACUCUGAUGAAAACAACAGAGUGGGACUCACAGCUGACUGCAUUGUUCACCUGGCCACAGUGAACCAUCACCUUCUGCUCUGCCACCGCUGACAGUGAUAAAGUGAUACCUGCACUGCUUUCCUGUAACCGAAGAAACAAAAAAUCCACGGGGAAGUGACUAACCACUCUGAGAGGAUUUUUACCUGUUUAAUGGAAUUGUCAGUGGAAUUUUAGUCAUUAGAUUAUUGUUACCCCCUGUCCCCCAACUUUAUCUGUGUGUAUUGCUCUUGUGUAAUAGAUCGUCAUCCACUCCCACUGUCACUUUCCAGCUCAGGAAAAACAGUGACACCACAACUACUGAACACGUCACGCUUGCUCGUUGCAUUCACCCCUCUCCAUUGUUACCUUGGUUACCAGCUCUCACACUUUAAAUUAAAAAAAUAAUAAUUUCAGGAGUGGUAGUGUUUUAUGUUGAACAAGUACUGGAAGUCUUUGGAAUUAAAACUAUCAUGUUUGAGAAAGUAAUUAAUAAGUGAAGACGACAAGUAGAGCGUGUUGUUAAAACUGAAAGUCAUAAGGAGAAAGCUGACUGUUUGUGUGAAAGCAUAUAUAUUUUAAUCUGAUUGGACAGUGAAAAAAAUAUUCUUACUCUUUUCACUUUCAUGUUUGGGUAUGAGUGUAUGCAUAUCCCUGUAUCUGUGUGUGUUUGUACCCCCAGAGGUGCAUGUAUAUAAUCUGUGUUCCAGAAAUGUCUUUCUACCAGGCCUGAAGUUCUCUAACCAUUUUACUCACACCAUAAAAUGUCAAAAACUGCAUUUUUAGGACCGUCCUAUAACUAGACAGUGAUAAAAGAUUUUUUGCACAUAAUUCUGAGUGUUUUUUACAUAAUUUCAAGUACAAUUUGAUUGAUUACUUAACUACAGGAACAGAGGAUAUUAGUUAUACCAUUAUUAAUAUCAAUUGUCAUUUCCUAAAUGCUGCUUGUUGCCAGUAAUUAACUUACCUUGAUUUAUUGCCUUCAGUAUCUGACACUUCAGCAAAUUAAAUCAAAGGCUUAUAAUUAUGUGCAAAUAGCUUUUGACUCAGGUCUGGACUGUACUAACACAUUCUGACUAAUAUUUAACAAUACUAACGUCUGACUAACAUUUCUUCUGAAUGCUGACGGCUGGUCUGGUCCUCUCUAACCUACAAACUAACACUCAGAUUCAUGCACACACACAUCACUCUCUCAUGAUCCUGAACACCUCAAGAAAAACAUAAACCCUCCGUAAGCAGUGUUUCUAGAACUCAGUACCUGGGCCCCUUAGUGUCAGAAACUUAGUGUUUCCCCUGUAUUUGACUACAUCAGUAUCAACAAUCUAAUACACAGCUCAAAUUGGUUUUCUAAAAAAAAAAAAA